rnacentral:rRNA from 1 species
AUGACUCUUAGCGGUGGAUCACUCGGCUCGUGCGU